GAUGAACGCUAGCUACAGGCUUAACACAUGCAAGUCGAGGGGCAUCAGUUUGGUUUGCUUGCAAACCAAAGCUGGCGACCGGCGCACGGGUGAGUAACACGUAUCCAGCCUGCCUCAUACUCGGGGAUAGCCUUUCGAAAGAAAGAUUAAUAUCCGAUAGCAUAUAUUUCCCGCAUGGGUUUUAUAUUAAAGAAAUUCGGUAUGAGAUGGGGAUGCGUUCCAUUAG
rnacentral:rRNA from 1 species